rnacentral:lncRNA from 1 species
GGGGCUUGGUUGACUGGGAUCUGCUAGUGAGUUCCUGCUCAGAGUUUCUGGUCUCUGGUUUCCAUGGUGAUGGCCAGGUGUGGCUGUUGCUGGACUCAUCUUGAAAGCAUCUUGCUGCUGUGCUGACCGUUGGUUUGAAUCUCAGCUGGGCUCUGAGCCAGGACAUACCCUUCAGUUGGACCACCUCACCCUGUGGCGUCUGGGUUUGGAGAAUGAGCGGAACGCAGCGAGUGCUGGUUUCUGCGAGCUGGGGCCAGACACUGGUGUGGGUCUCUCACCCAAGUCUCACUGUCACUCACCUCAGAGACCAGGCUCGGGGACAGUGGAUAAUCUCUCUGGAAUCCAGGACUGUACCCCUGAUUACUUUUAGGACAGGUGCCCCAUCACUGUCUCCCAGGCUGGCCUGAGUUUCUGGACCUUUUCUGCUUUAUCUUCUGUCCUGCAGAAGAAGGCAUGAUAUCCAGUUGUCUGCAAAAGAGGACACCCUUGCAGGAAGGUCUUUGCCCCAGGUCCCAGCAUCAUCCCUGAGUGCAGAGUCACUGAGAGACCCCAGGAGUAGGUUAGAAUUCUGUAUUUUCUGAGCUAUCUCAGGUGUGUCCAUGUUGACGCUAUAUUUUCACAAGGGAAAAAAUUCAGGGACUAGAACUGGGAGACAAAGAUAAUAGCCUGGUGCCAACUUGGUGCACUGACUUUAAUCAAAUCAUUGGGUUCUGAUCCUUAGUCCUGAGUCCUCCACCAGAAUAAUCCUUCCCUAGGGAACAGUAAAGUCACUGUCUCAUAUCUGAGCUGUGGUUUCCUCCUUGGCCUCUUCUCCACAUCGUCCACAGGAUGGCCAGCUGCUGCUUGAUGAUUCACUAGGAAGCCUGGCCCCUUGACAGAGCAAAUGCCAGUGAGGACUGCAAAUGGCUUCCAAUGUCUGUUUGCCCAAGGCCUUCUGGGAACUGAGGGCCUGGCAUGAGCACUGCAAGGAACUGCAAACCAGGUGAGUCACGGAUUUACCA